ACAUGCUUACAGCAUAGCGUUAAUGCACUAGAUCUCAUUAGAACUCCAGUUAAACACACUCGGGCUAGAGUAGUACUGGGAUGGGUGACCGCUCGGGAAGUCUUAGUAUAAAACAUGCC
rfam:Picea glauca, whole genome shotgun sequence.